rnacentral:lncRNA from 1 species
GAACAAGCAUUCCAGAGAGCACAGAGGAAGGGCUGCUCUUAUCCUUCUUGAAGACGACCAAGAAUCACCCUAUGAUGAGUAAGCAAUAUGGUGGCUAUCUAAAACUUGAGUCUCGGUUACAAGAACA